GAGAGCCUGAUCCAGCCAUGCCGCGUGAAUGAUGAAGGCCUUAGGGUUGUAAAAUUCUUUCAGCAGGGAAGAUAAUGACGGUACCUGCAGAAGAAGCCCCGGCUAACUCCGUGCCAGCAGCCGCGGUAAUACGGAGGGGGCUAGCGUUGUUCGGAAUUACUGGGCGUAAAGCGCUCGUAGGCGGAUUGGUCAGUCAGGGGUGAAAGCCCGGAGCUCAACUCCGGAACUGCCUUUGAUACUGCCAGUCUUGAGUUCGGGAGAGGUGAGCGGAAUACCGAGUGUAGAGGUGAAAUUCGUAGAUAUUCGGUGGAACACCAGAGGCGAAGGCGGCUCACUGGACCGAUACUGACGCUGAGGAGCGAAAGCGUGGGGAGCAAACAGGAUUAGAUACCCUGGUAGUCCACGCCGUAAACGAUGAGAGCUAGUUGUCUGGCAGCAUGCUGUUAGGUGACGCAGCUAACGCAUUAAGCUCUCCGCCUGGGGAGUACGGCCGCAAGGUUAAAACUCAAAUG
rnacentral:rRNA from 1 species